rnacentral:tRNA from 2 species
GCCCUAGUAGCUCAGUGGAUAGAGCACGGCUCUCCUAAAGCCGGUGUCGUAGGUUCGAUUCCUACCUGGGGCA